rnacentral:rRNA from 1 species
UACGAAGGGGGCUAGCGUUGCUCGGAAUCACUGGGCGUAAAGGGUGCGUAGGCGGGUCUUUAAGUCAGGGGUGAAAUCCUGGAGCUCAACUCCAGAACUGCCUUGAUACUGAAGAUCUUGAGUUCGGGAGAGGUGAGUGGAACUGCGAGUGUAGAGGUGAAAUUCGUAGAUAUUCGCAAGAACACCAGUGGCGAAGGCGGACUCAC